AUUGAACGCUGGCGGCAGGCCUAACACAUGCAAGUCGAACGAGUGGCGGACGGGUGAGUAAUGUCUGGGAAACUGCCCGAUGGAGGGGGAUAACUACUGGAAACGGUAGCUAAUACCGCAUACCAUCGGAUGUGCCCAGAUGGGAUUAGCUAGUAGGUGGGGUAACGGCUCACCUAGGCGACGAUCCCUAGCUGGUCUGAGAGGAUGACCAGCCACACUGGGACUUGGGAACGGGCCAGGCUCCUACGGGAGGCAGCAGGGGGGAAUAUUGGACAAUGGGCGCAAGCCCGAAUCAGCCAUGCCGCGGGUAAUAAGAAGGGCUUCGGGUUGUAAAGUACUUUCAGCGAGGAGGCGUUACUCGCAGAAGAAGCACCGGCUAACUCCGUGCCAGCAGCCGCGGUAAUUC
rnacentral:rRNA from 1 species